rnacentral:rRNA from 1 species
UACGUAGGUGGCAAGCGUUGUCCGGAUUUACUGGGCGUAAAGAGCGCGCAGGCGGUCGGAUAAGUCGAGUGUGAAAGCCCCUGGCUCAACCAGGGAGGGUCACUCGAUACUGUUCGACUCGAAGGCAGGAGAGGGAAGUGGAAUUCCGGGUGUAGUGGUGAAAUGCGUAGAUAUCCGGAGGAACACCAGUGGCGAAGGCGACUUUCUGGCCUGUUCUUGACGCUGAGGCGCGAAAGCUAGGGUAGCAAACGGG